CUCAAACCCUAAUCUGCAACAAGAAACAGCCGGGAGCUUGCUUAUACUAAAGCUUCUGAGCUGCCACUCCCAGAGUCCAGCUUAGAGUGCCAUAGGGCCAGGAAUGUGCAUUUGCACAGCUCUCUGGGGAUGCUGAUACAGGGGACCAAAGACUAUCUACUGAGGCCCAGUGUAACUUUACUGUGAGACAACUAAGUCACCUUCCCACCCGGAGAUGCCUCCUGAGCUGACCACAGGGCGGCCACACCUGGGUAAGCCACCACUCAGGGUGGGACUGGGGCAGGCACAGCCAGGCGGGUGAGGAAGUGGGCGGGAAGAGCCUGUUUUAACCAGAUAAAAUUCCAAAAUUCCUUACAGUGAGCCAGCCAUUUGCUCUUUUUUUUUUUUUUUUGAGUCUCCCUCUGUUGCCCAGCCUAGAGUGCAGCGGUGUAAUCACAUAGCUCACUGCAGCCUGGAGCUCCUGGACUCCAGUGAUCCUCCCACCUCAGCCUCCGGAGUAGCUGGGACUAAGUCACAUACCCACAAGCCCAGCUAAUUGUUAAGUUUUUUGUUGGGGUGGUGGUGGCGGUGGGGUGUGUAUCUCACUAUGUUGCCCAGUCUGGUCUUGAACUCCUGGCCUCAAACGAUCCUCCCGCCUCCGCCUCCGCCUCCGCCUCCUUAAGUCUUGGGAUUACAGGAGUGAGCCACAACUCCGGCCCAGCCAGUUCAUUCUUAAUAACUUUAAUACAUAAAAAUGGACCAUUUUAGUGUCCUGAAAUAAGCAAUGAUUUCCACCAUCCGAAUAUGGUGUGUAAUGACCUCCAGACGCCUAGUUACCAUCUACAUCCAUAGCUCAGCGAUCAGAGCUUGCCCUGAACGGACUCCUUUCCCACUGCAGACAAGUAGGGGGUUUUGCCCGUAAAGAAGGAGCUAGUCUACGUGCGGCUGCAGUAGGCCCUGCGCCAUCCGUCAUUUCUCGGCUUCCUCCCACGCGCCUUCAUGCGGAUGUGUAGGUAUCUCCUCUCCCUGGCUGAGUCAAGUCACUCAGAGACUGAAAAGAGAGAGAGGAUGUGGCGUGAAGCUGAAGCCUGCACCCAGGGCCUGGCACCUACUGGGUUGGGCUUGGCGCUGCGUGCUUGCAUUUCCGCGGAUAGACCGAGAUGGCAUCUGGGCUGUGACACUGGCUGCCCAGCUUUUCUUUUCUUUUUUUCCAACAGCAUCUGGAAGAGGCUCUGGGAGGGUCCAAACAACAAACCACGCGGCGUUCUCUGGUGGCUGUGCUGGGACGAGUGGGCGGAAACAGCCGCAGCUGACAACUGUCAAGAACUGUCCCCUGCCAUUUCACCUGAGCUGACCUGAUCUCCCCAGGGGAAUGAGCCUCGUCUUGCAAGUCCCCUUCUUUGGGUCCCUGGCAGCGCUGCUGCAGGAUACAAGGAACAGGAUGCUAUGACGAGAUAUGCAUUGAGAAGCUUCAGUCCUGCCUCCAUCCUUAUCUUCUUCUCCCUGGACCAAAAGUGAUAAUUGUCAUUUGAUCCUUAUUUAUUUUUAGAAAUAAAACUCUUAUGCAGAUACCAACACAUACAAAUCUGUAUUCUUAUACCCUCUAUUUCUUACACACAAGGUAGCAUAUUAUAUUCACUGCUUGACAUGUUACUAUAUUUAUUUGUACUUUAUUGAGCUAUAACAUAUACAGUAAAAUAUACAAAACAUAAUGCAUAGGCCAGUGAAUUUUUUCCUUUUUUUAAAUUUAUUUUUCUUGUAUGACUAUUAAAAACAGCUUUAUUGAGGUCCAAUUGAUAUAUAAUAGUAAACUGGAAUAUAUACACACCCAUGAACCAUCACCAUAAUUGAAAUAAUGAAAAUAAUCAUCACCUUCAAAAGUUUCCUCUUAGGCCAGGUGUGAUGGCUUAUGCUUGUAAUCCCAGCACUUUGAGAGUCUGAGGUGGGAGGAUCACUUGAGCCCAUGAGUUCAAGACCAGCCUGGACAACAUGGCAAAACUCCAUCUCCACAAAAAAAUACAAAAAUUAGGUGGUGUAUGUCUGUAGUCCCAGCUACUCAAGAGGCUGAGGCAGGGGGAUCUCCUGAGCCCAGGAUGUUGAGACUGCAGUGAGCCCUGAUCAUGCCCCUGCACUCCAGCCUGGGCGACAGAGUGAGAUCCUGUCUAUAAAUAAAGUUUCCUCUGGCCUCUAUAUUUUCUUAUUAGCUUGUAAAGGUGAGCAGAUUGAUGAGUUGGGUUGAAGAUAUCUAACAUUAAGCUGAUCACAACCUCAUGGUUCCUUCCUAGAGGCUCCUUUAGUUUCUUUCUUUUCUUUUCUUCUCUUCUCUUUUUUUUUUUUCCGAGACAGGGUCUCACUCUGUUGCCCAUGCUAGAGUGCAGUGGUAUGAUCAUAGCUCUCUGCAGUCUUAAAUUCCUGGUCUUAAGCAAUGCUCCUACUUCAGCCUCCCAAGUAGCUGGGACUACAGGGGUGUGCCACCAUGUCCGGCUAUUUUUUGUAGAGACAGAGUUUCACCAUGUUUCCCAGGCUGUUCUCCUAGUGUCAAGAGAUCUGCUCGCCUCAGCCUCCCAAAGUGCUGGGAUUACAGACAUGAGCCACCGUGACCAGCUGAGUCUGCUUUUGUUUCUUAAGAAUCCAGGAACUAGGUAAUAAAUGUAUGUCUUUGCUACUCCUAAGUCUUAUUAAUCACUUACAUUUCUGACAAUUAAUCAUUGGACCUCAAGGGACUUUGAUAAGAUUAAUUUGAAGUUCUCAGCAGUAGAAAGUUUAUUUUGUCAGUCUGCAAAGCUUCUGGUGUCAGAGGUUCUGGUUCAGGGCUGUUUGACUCAAAGAACCAAGGGACUCUUGGAAAAAGAAACAAGACUUACAUGGAAUUUCAGGAUCUCCAUUGUUUAUAAGCCAUAAUUCUGGGAAGAAGGAAAUGAACUCUAAUUAAGCACCUCUAUGGGUCAGAUACUUUAUAUAAAACAAAGAAUUUAAUCCUCAACAAUAACCUGCCACAGAGAUGAGAUUAUCACCAUUUUUACAGAAGAGGAAAUAGGAUCUGAGAGCCUAAGCAACUUGCCCAAGGUGACUCAGUAAGUGGCAUGAGCUGGAGUUGAAACCCAGAGCUAUAUUGCUAUAGAGCCCAUCCUUUCUAUUUCAUGGCCCUACUCUCUGUCCCCUGCCCCUAGAUAAUAUUAACAAUUGAUAGACAGAUAAGUAGAUAGAUAGAUAAAUAGAUACAGAUACACACACAUAUAUCUGUAUAUCAGGAUGUGCUAUAUAUUACAUUUUAUUUAUUUCCAAAGGCCUUAGGAAAAAAACAAUAGCAGUGUAGAACAUGAAGGCAAAUGGUUACAAAAUACAUGGAUACGUGUAUUUUACUGCUGAUAUAAAUUUAUGUCUAUUGAGUUAUUCCCAAGUUAACAAGGACCGAGAAGUUACUGUGGCCUAAGAAUUGUGCUCUGCAUGUUGGUAGAGACAAAAUAAGCAGCGUCUACUGGCAAAGACUGUAUCAUGUUGCCGGAGAAGUGAAGCAUUAAGUAGAAACUGUGUGUAGUGGCUGUGAGGGCAGCAUGGUUCUGCAAAGGGCUUGAUUGGCGGGAAGAGGAUUAGAUUCCCGCAUGUGUAGUUGGGAAUCUGAUCUGUAAAAGCCAGACACUGAGGUUUUGAUGUCUUUCUCCAGUUCACACAAAGAGCUAAUAGCUGGGCUGGGACUAUGUCUUAAGCAUCCUGGAUAGUUAACAUCUUACCAACCUCUGUCUUCCCCAAAAGCUGCAAUCUCCAUAUGCAGGAGCCAACAUCAGUUUGCUGCAAGGGAGGAGAAUGAGGACUAUUGUAUCAACUGGAGUCCCAUAGAAAACAAAUGACACACUCAAAAGGGGUGAUCAAGAGUUCCAUGGAGGGGCCGUUGACAAAGGUAGAGCCGGUUUAGAGAAAAGCAAUAAGGGAUGCGGAAGCCUCAGGAUCAGCAGCAGCAGGAAGCCACUGGCACCGAGUGCCAAGGGGUAGGGAGCGGUAGCUGAGGUGUGGUGAGCUGUAGGUACAGAAGCACUGCUAUUGCUGCAUCAGAGGUAUCAAUAUUCCAUCCUCACUCUCUCAAUGCCCUCUGAUCACACGCCUGGUGCCCUGGAAGACAGAGGUCACUGGAGCUGUGUGGUUGCAGUCGUUAGAGGUCAGCUUCCUGGCUGCAGCACAGUGCAGAAAGGAAAUGGACAGAGAGUGGUUCUGGCAGGACAGAUGGAGACUAUCCAGUGCAAAAUCCAUGCUGGGGAAAUUUAAGAGUUUUCUUGGGAGUGCAUUAAAGGAGCUAUUGCAGGUGCCUUAGAAUCUCAGAGUCUUAAAGUCACUCCCUUCCAUAAUCCAAUAGCUUGUUCUUGUUCUCAGGAAAGCUCUAUAAACCCAGGGCCUUAUUCUUAUUGUAGUCAUCAUUUCCAGCAGAGCACAGAUUCAAGAGCCAGCUGUUUAACUCAUGACCUUGCUGAAGAGGUGGUAAUGGGGCUAUUCUUAGUGAUCACAUUGUUAUGGGUUAGCAACUUGAUGUUCAAGGUAGUGGGCACCUAGAUAUCUCUGAAUGAUGGUGUUUGUUGGUUUGAAAGAGGUCUCCCUCAUUAAUUCAUUAUCUUGCUGGAGAGGCAGUUGCAUUUUGGCUUCAGCCUUUAAAUGAUAGUGGCUCUAUUUCCGACUUGCUUGGAAACUAUUAUUAACUAUUAUUCCCAACAAUACACUUGCAUAUUUGACAAUCUAGAAACCAAAUUUAGCCAUGCAAAUUAUAGACAACUGCUCUCUUAUAAUGUCACUGUGAUGUCCCAGUUUUUAAGAAAUGGAAGAUUAACAAAGCCAGCUUCAAAUGCUUAAAACAAUAUUUUAUGUAAGAAGCCAUUUUCCCCCAGAGAUGCAUAGACCUGUAAAAUGUUUCCAGAGCUCUUUGGAAGAUAACCAAUAUUUCUCUCAAAGGAAGGGGAAGUAGCAGAACAUCAAAUAUACGCAAAAACCCUUCAAAGCUGGAAGUGCCAUCAGCUUACUAAGGAAUUAUGUUAAAAAUAAGGGAAACUUAAGAGGUCACUUAAAUGAUUUAAACACCAUAUUUUCCCUCUUCUCCAAAAAUCCCCCAAGACAAUGCUCAUAAUGUUAGACUGACCUUUUAGCAUAUGUGAUUUUAGUGAAAGACAUUUCUCUUCUUCUAAAUAUAUCUCAAACCAUUCUUAAAAGUAAUGAUUUCUCAUUAAGGCUCUUGCACCUGCUUGUGAAGAAAAGACAUCUGACCUUUAAAAAAUAUUCCAUGGGUCUGAAUCAUCUAAGUAUAUUGUAGCUUUAUUCUUGCAGACAAGGGAAACCAAGAAUGAUCUGGAUAAUGGAGAAACCUGUUAAUACAACUGGAUUUGAAUCACACUACUGGCUGAAAUUCACACAACCGGAUUGGGAUCCCACUGUGUAAUUUUAGGAUGCUCAAGCAUCAUGGCAUCAUUUCCAGUGGAGUCGCUGAACUUGUAGGUUGUCUACCUGACACCUCGAGGUCCUUACACCAAGAAGUCAGCUGUGAAGCCCGCUGAGUCCUCGGGUGGAUGUCUGCCACCACAUACAUAGCCUUUGCUGGUGGCUUGGAGAGCUGGCAGGUCAGCCACAGAAAGUGGGCAAGACCUAGUCAGUAGCGACAGGAUAUGUUCCCAGGAUGGACAGCUGCCUGAUAUGCGUUCAGUUCCAGUGCCAAAGCCAAGGGCUGCCAGUGCCCUUCCUUCAUGCUAAGGACUUCUCUCUCUCCAGGACAGCGGAUGCCUGUUUGGAAGGCUGGAUUGGACUGAGCCACAUGGCAGAGCCUUGGAGAUGGCAGGGGAGGGAAGUCGAAGACAUGGAGUGGUUUGACAUUUGUGCAUAGUAUGAAGAAAGAUCAUCAAGGCUGAAAUGUGUCUGCUAAGAGGCUUCAGCUCAUGUUUGCUAAUCUCCUGUAUGGUGAAACACUGGCACCCAGACAAACCCUCAUUCACAUCAGAACAAAGCGCUAGUUAUGUGUGUUGAAAUUCCUUAAAGAAAAUGUCUUGCAGGCUGCUGGGGAGUGCGUGAAUGCUGGAAAUGCUUCACCAAGAGUUACUCAAUGUCCUGGGAAGACGGUCUGCUGGCAUCUGAGGGCUCACCCUAGAGAAGAGUGGUUGUACUCCAGGGCACAUGGGUCUGGUGAGGACAGAGAAGCAUGGGUGGAUGGGUGGGUGGAGAUGAGGGUGGAUGUUUUCUCUGUAAUCGUCUCCGGCCAGGCUGGAGCCCGAACCAGACUACCCACUUUAUUAGUCCAUUGAGAAUAUCUAAAGUCAGGCUUCUCAGCACAGCUGCCAUUUCCCCUGCUUGGGACCAGAUUUUCCUGUUUUCUGAGGGCUUCCAAGUAAGUUGGAAGUUCCUUGGGUUUCCACAACUUUGACUUAAUGAAGAAACAAGGUCAAGAAUCAGAGGAAAGGUUUUUGGAUGGGCCUCAGAGGUCUGAAAUGGUUAGGUGGGAGUCUAAAGGUAUAGGAGAGAAACUAAAUCAGUUGUAGCCCCAGCUGUUUGGAGAUGAUGCCAGCAGAUGGGAUUGAGUAAGCGACCACAGGUUGCAGAGGGUGGCAGAUGGGAGGCGGAUGUGGAAAUGGGGUCCCAGUCAGAAAUGAACACCACUAGAGGAGCAGGAAGAAGGGCCAAGCAAGAGCAGUGGUUCUCAUUGUGGUUUCUGGACUAGCGGCGGCAGCAGCACCCACGAUGUAGAUGUCAACUCUUAACUCCACUCGGAAACCCACUGAAUCAGAAACUCAGGUGGUGAAGCCCAACCAGCGGUACUUGAAUAAGUCCUCCAGUGAGUCUGAUGGACACUAAAGUUUAAGAACCACUGAGUCAGGGAACCCCAAGGGAGGCAAUUGCUAAGGAACUGCAAGAGAGGAAUUAGGGGCUGGGCCAGGGGCCAGGCGCGGUGGCUCACACCUGUAAUCCCAGCACUUUGAGAGGCUGAGGCAGGAGAAUGGCUUGAGCCCAGGAGUUCAAGACUAGCCUGGGCAACAUAGUGAAACCCUGACUCUACAAAGAACACAAAAUUGGCCAGGCAUGGUGGUAGCCACCUGCAGUCCUAACUACUCGGGAGGAUCACUUGAGCCUGGGAGAUGGAGGUUGCAGUGAGCUGAGAUCACACCUCUGGGCUACAGCCUGGGUGAUAGAGCAAGACCCCAUCUCAAAAAAAAAAAAAAAAAAGACGGCAGGAUUAGGGAAACUUCUAGAAUGAGGAGGAGAUGGCCCUGAAAGCACAGGGGGACAAGGAGAGUGAACUGAAAAGUAGAAAGAAGUUCUUCUCCAUAAGAAAAAAAGGUGAUGAGAGCUACAAUAAAAAACUACUAGUCACAACGGCUGCAGCUCAAGGUAGCCUGGAUUCUUGAUAAGCACACACCCGCCACUGGUGUCACGCUGAAGCUGGAAGGACCGCCUCUGCUAACAACAGUGAAGAACAAAUGUGGAUGCAAAUGGCUCUUAGAAGUCAGACAAAGGGAAGUUGCAUUGCUGAGAUUCACCUGCAGGUCCCAGCAUGGCUCAUUUGUUCUCUGGAGUAGUGGGUUGAAUGGUAGCCCCCCGCCCCCAUAGAUAUCCUAACCCCUAGAAUCUGUGAACGUGAUCUUAUUGUGGCAGCAGGCCUGUAAUCCAAGCUACUCUGGAAGCUGAAGGGGGAGGAUUUCUUGAGGCCAGAGGUUCGAGACCGGCCUAGGCAACAUAGCAAGAGACCCCUUCCAUCUCCAAAAAAUGAAGGAUAUCCAGAUGAGAUCAUCCUGGAUUAUCUGAGUGGGUCUUAAAUCCAAUGACAUCCAAAUUUAUAAGAGAUGAAAGAGGAGGAAAAGAGAGAUAUGCAGAGGAGAAGGUGAUGGGAAGAUGGAGGCAGGAAUUGGAGUGACACAUCCAUAAACAUGUAGACAUAAAGGGAAUGCCUGUAGUCACCAGCAGUGGGAAGAGGUAAGGCGGGAUUGUCCCGCAGAGCCUUCAGAGGAGGCAUGGCCCUGCUAACACCUUGAUUUUUGGACUUCUGACCUCCAGAAAUGAAAGAAAAUAAAUUACUAUUGCUUUAAGCCACCAAAUUUGUGGUGAUUUAUUAUAGCAGCUCUAGGAAAUUAAUAUACCUGGCUUAAGGGAAGAGGCAUGGGAUUUGAAGACAGACAGACUGGUGUCUUGAACUUUUUGAAUGUUACUCCCUAGGGUGGGAUGUGAACUCUGAGUCACAGCAGUCCCCACGUGGCUUGAGUCCCUCAUUACUUUAGCUAUCUGCCUCCUAUGAGCAUCUUAGCUUUGUAUCCUCUGGGUAACUUCACCUCUCCAGUCUUCUCCACCUUUGACAUCUUAUUAUUCCAGCAAGGGGGGUGGGGAAGGUGGAUUACCUCAAAUCUUUGGAGCAAUGUUUGGGGAUGAUGUAGUCUACCAUCCUUUGAAUAGCUUGGCUGAUUUACCAUUGAGGAAGAAAGAAAUUUCUUCUUGAGAUGUAGUGUGAUGCCUUUUUCAGAACCAGCCACUCUAGUGAUUUUUAAUAAAAAAAAUUAUUGUCUCAUGGCUGGGUUUCUGUCAUUCCUUCCAGAAGGUGGGAGGCUGUGAGUUUGGAAAAUUAGUGUCUGGUGACUGUGGGUGAGAAGGCCCUUUCCUACAUAACAGAAGAAAUAAACAC
rnacentral:lncRNA from 1 species